UCGCGAAUAGCUCAUUACAACAGCUAAAAUCUACUUGAUCUUGACACAAUCCUACUUGGAUAACUGUGGUAAUUCUAGAGCUAAUACAUGCAUUAAAGCUCUGACCUCACGGGACGAGUGCAUUUAUUAGAACAAAACCAAGCGGCUUCGGCUGUUUUCGGUUGACUCAUAGUAACUGAGCUGAUCGCAUGGUCUUGCACCGGCGACGUGUCUUUCGAGUAUCUGCCGUAUCAACUUUCGAUGGUAGUGUAUCUGACUACCAUGGUGAUCACGCGUAACGGAGAAUAAGGGUUCGACUCCGGAGAGUUCGCCUGAGAAAUCGCGAACACAUCUAAGGAAGGCAGCAGGCGCGAAAAUUACCCACUCUCAGCACGAGGAGGUAGUGACGAAAAAUAACGAGACCGUUCCCUUAUGAGGCCGGUCAUCGGAAUGGGUACAAUUUAAACCCUUUAACGAGUAUCUAUGAGAGGGCAAGUCUGGUGCCAGCAGCCGCGGUAAUUCCAGCU
rnacentral:rRNA from 1 species